rnacentral:rRNA from 1 species
UAAGGUGGAGAGUGGCGCACGGGUGAGUAACACAUGGCUGACCUGCCCCUCGGAGGGGGACAGGCGGUGGAAACGCCGGCUAAUACCCCAUGCUUGCGUCCGGGUUAGAGGCCGGAUGCAGAAAGGCCGAGGCGCUGAGGGAGGGGGCUGUGGACCAUCAGCUAGUUGGUAGGGUAACGGCCUACCAAGGCGAGGACGGAUAGGGGGCCUGAGAGGGUGACCCCCCACACGGGCACUGAGACACGGGCCCGACUCGGACGGGAGGCAGCAGUAAGGGAUAUUGCGACAAUGGGCGAAAGCCUGACGCAGCAACGCCGCGUGGAGGAUGAAGGCCUUCGGGUUGUAAACUCCUUUUCUGUGGGAAGAGGAAGGACGGUACCACAGGAAGAAGUCUCGGCUAACUACGUGCCAGCAGCCGCGGUAAAACGUAGGAGGCGAGCGUUAUCCGGAUUUACUGGGUGUAAAGCGCGUGCAGGCGGUCUGGUAAGUCGAGCGUGAAAGCUCCCGGCUCAACCGGGAGAGGACGUGCGAAACUGCGAGGCUAGAGACAGGUAGAGGCGUACGGAAUUCCGGGUGUAGUGGUGAAAUGCGUAGAUAUCCGGAGGAACACCAGUGGCGAAGGCGGUACGCUGGGCCUGGUCUGACGCUAAGACGCGAAAGCAUGGGGAGCGAACGGGAUUAGGAACCCCGGUAGUCCAUGCCGUAAACGAUGCUAACUAGGUGUUGCGGGUAAAAGACCGGCAGUGCCGGAGUUAACGCGAUAAGUUAGCCACCUGGGGACUACGGUCGCAAGGGCUAAAACUUCAAAGGAAUUUACCGGGGUCCCGCACAAGCAGCGUAGCCGUGUGGUUUAAUUCGAGGCUACACGAAGAACCUUUACCUGGGCUUGACAUGACGGUGGUAGGGAACCGAAAGGGUACCGACCUUCGGGAGCCGUCACAGGUGCUGCAUGGCUGUCGUCAGCUCGUGUCGUGAGAUGUUCGGUUAAGUCCGGUAACGAGCGCAACCCUCAUCGCUAGUUACAAGUGUCUAGCGAGACUGCCCGUUCAACGCGGGAGUAAGGCGGUGAUGACGUCAAGUCAGCAUGGCCUUUAUGUCCAGGGCUACACACACGCUACAAUGGCCGGUACAAUGGGUCGCCAACCCGCGAGG